UUUUUAGUAAUGAUAAUAAAAUAAUUUUUCGUUCCAACUUGCUCAAUUUGAGCAUAACAAACCUCUUAUUAUACUCAUAGAAUCUGAGCUAC
rnacentral:snoRNA from 1 species